rnacentral:rRNA from 1 species
ACGUGAAACCUUGUGGGAAGCAGGGAGGACCACCUCCCAAGGCUAAAUACUACCUGAUGACCGAUAGUGAAGCAGUACCGUGAGGGAAAGGUGAAAAGAACCCCGGGAGGGGAGUGAAAUAGAACCUGAAACCGUGUGCCUACAACCGCUCAGAGCCCCUUAUGAGGGUGAUGAGGUGCUUUUUGUAGAACGAGCCAACGAGUUACGGUAUGUAGCAAGGUUAAGUACUUAAGGUACGGAGCCGAAGGGAAACCGAGUCUGAAUAGGGCGACUAGUUGCAUGCCGUAGACCCGAAACCGGGUGACCUAUCCAUGGCCAGGUUGAAGCGAGGGUAAAACCUCGUGGAGGACCGAACCACGUUGCUGUUGAAAAAGCAUGGGAUGAGCUGUGGAUAGCGGAGAAAUUCCAAUCGAACCCGGAGAUAGCUGGUUCUCUCCGAAAUAGCUUUAGGGCUAGCGUCGAGUAUGAGUAGUGGAGGUAGAGCACUGAAUGGGCUAGGGGGCAUAGCGCUUACCGAACCUUAUCAAACUCCGAAUGCCACAUACUUUGAGCUCGGCAGUCAGACUACGAAUGAUAAGAUCCGUGGUCAAAAGGGAAACAGCCCAGAUCGUCAGCUAAGGUCCCAAAGUGUAAGUUAAGUGGGAAAGGAUGUGAGAUUUCUAAGACAACUAGGAUGUUGGCUUAGAAGCAGCCAUUCAUUAAAAGAGUGCGUAAUAGCUCACUAGUCGAGAGAUCUUGCGCCGAAAAUGUAACGGGGCUAAACUUAC